rnacentral:rRNA from 1 species
CCUACGGGAGGCAGCAGUAAGGAAUAUUGGUCAAUGGAGGCAACUCUGAACCAGCCAUGCCGCGUGCAGGAAGACUGCCCUAUGGGUUGUAAACUGCUUUUAUCCGGGAAUAAACCUGCUUACGUGUAAGUAGCUGAAUGUACCGGAAGAAUAAGGAUCGGCUAACUCCGUGCCAGCAGCCGCGGUAAUACGGAGGAUCCAAGCGUUAUCCGGAUUUAUUGGGUUUAAAGGGUGCGUAGGCGGCCUGUUAAGUCAGGGGUGAAAGACGGUAGCUCAACUAUCGCAGUGCCCUUGAUACUGAUGGGCUUGAAUGGACUAGAGGUAGGCGGAAUGAGACAAGUAGCGGUGAAAUGCAUAGAUAUGUCUCAGAACACCGAUUGCGAAGGCAGCUUACUAUGGUCUUAUUGACGCUGAGGCACGAAAGCGUGGGGAUCAACAGGAUUAGAUACCCUGGUAGUCCACGCCCUAAACGAUGAACACUCGCUGUUGGCGAUACACAGUCNGCGGCGAGACGAAGACGUUAAGUUGUUCCUACCGUCGGGGAGGUACGGCCCGCCGACGGGUAGGAACGUACGAAGUAAGUAGUAGGACGGCGAGAGAGCGACGGACGGACGACGACGGGAGGGAGGAGG